CUCUUAGCCCUCAUUUAAGGGCUGACUGCCAAUGGGGAAGGGUCUCUGGUUGGAGAUCCCUCCUGUCUGGAGUUUUCCCUGUGAGCCUAAACUUUUUGGAGAUGGGUGAGUACUUUUUCUUUGUAACACCUUUCUAUUGCACUGGUCUCCUUGUGGUUACAUCUCCUGUAACACCAUUCCAUUGCCUUGAUCUUUCUGAUUGUUACAGUGUGCCAUAGCCUGACUUCUACAAGCAAGCAACCAUGUAGCCCAGUGACUGAAAUCUGGAUGCCAACAACUGAAUUAUACCUGUGGUUGAGUUACAGGAGUUUGGUUUUAUGGGGUAUUUCCCCAUGGGGUUCUAAUUCUUAGUAUAGUGAUUCCCUUCCGUGUCUAAAGCAACGGUUAACACUGAAUGCUGGCUUCCUGUUUCAUACGGCACUGCAGGCACUGCUCCCCUGCUUCUGACUCAUUUCCUGACAGCAAAACUCGCAUGGGGCAUUUGCCAGAAAAAGUGUCUCUGUAGGUAGGUAUUAGUAACUCAUCCCCUGUUACUAAGGGUUCUUAUCUUUGUGCUGUAAACAAAAAGAGAUUAGAGCUCUCAAGUGACAAAGAGCACAACUAGUGUUGGUUUUCUUCACUUUGUUAAUUGGGGCUGCAGCUGACCCCCAGCCCUGGGCCACUGAGUGUCUGCACCUACAGGCUUUGUUAACAGGAGCUGCUGACAAUUCUGCUUCUCUCUUUAACUUCUGUUUCAUUUUGUCAUGGUUUGCAAAAGGCAGCGUUAUCUCCUGCCAUGUGCUUGUGUUUAGCAACUGAGCUACAUCCUUCAGCUGCAUCAAAUUGCAAAGAAAUGCUGUAGCUGGGGGGGCACUGCCCAGCCCCUCCUUCACUGGGACAGCACAAUAACACUGAGGUGUCCCAGGCCAGGUCCAUCUGCAGCUCCAGCUGGACGUGUGCUGCUCCCUCACCACCCUCCAGGUGAGCUCCCACUUUGCCAAGAAGCCAUUAAGCAUCACUGUCAGAGUUAUUAGCUGCCCUCUUGCCAAGGUCAGCCUGACUGCCCCGUGCUCUGACAAAACACAACACCAGAUGGCCACUGACACCACAGAGGAUUGGGUGCAUUUGCAAAAUGUGCCAUUUUGAGAACAUGCUGCUAUUCAAAUGCUGGCCAACGGACCUGUGAUAUUCAGAGGGUCUGAGGUCAGAUGAGUCACAGCAGUCAGUUUGCAUGUCGGGGUUCCAGGGUACAGUUAGACUUAUUUACAUUUCAUGUGACAGCUCAGAACUAGGCUGCAACAGCAACUUUCAGAGUAAUCAGGCUCAGGCUGCUGACUCAAAGUGGCCACCAAACAGAGAUAUUUAGGGUAAAUGUACAUGUCCGGGAUGCAUAUCUGCUGUAACACGAGGAUGAUGCACAUGCUUGGUCUCACAUCUCAGCCUUCAUGCUCUGAUGGCAGCAAGCUGUGUCCAGACACCAGAUGGGCACCAGUGGGCUGCAGCAGCCUGAGCCCAUGGUGGAGCCCCCUACACAGAGAGAUCCCCCCAGGCUUUGUCCUCAUCUGCUAAUUGUCCACAAGGUGUCAGAGUUAAUCAAAACUUCUCUUCUUUGCUCAGUUGAGGGCAGUUUUCUAAACCCAUAGGACAGAUGGAGGGGCAGAGGUGGUGGUGUGGCCACAUCCUCAUGACUUUGUGUUGCUGUCUUCUAGGGUGAUCCCAAAAAGAAGAAUGCUGGCAUUAGGGGAAAAAAUGCUCUGGGAGUUAGUACUCUUAUCCCUGGUGUUUACUUAGAGACAGUGGAGGUUGGGAGCUUCAGCCCUCAGAGCCACAGGCUGCAGAACCCUCUUAUGAAGGGGCAGGAGAUGUCUCAGCUCCAUUACCUGAGCAAAUGUAAGGAUGUGACUGGUGGGCAGGGGGUGCGUGGGGCAGCACUGGGGCCAUGGGGCAGGGGACAGCCUCUUCUCUGCCUCAACUGGCCUCAGGGCUGGGCAUGUCCAAGAACAUGGACUGAGUGGGGUGACCCUGUUGGGUGCAGCAGCAUUAAUGCCAUCAAUGUGCAUAUGGGUGAUUGCUGCUCGUUGGCACGUGGUGGGUGCUGAGAAUGAUGACUCUGCCACAAAUGAAUCCAUCCCUUCAACCAAAUUGCACAGGAGGCAAUUUAGCAGUGGCUAUGAGUGAUUAACCUGAUCUCAAGGUUCUUGGGAAAGGAAAGGUAUUGCUGCUCCCUAACUCAAAUGCAGCCCUCUUUUCCUUGAUGUGUCCUUAGGCUUUGCCAGGGGGCGCAUCAGGUAAGAGUGGAGUUCCUAUGGGAGUUCCUGUGGGAUCUGCUCUGCAGAGCCUGUGUUCCUGAGGCUGUUGCAGUAAGGAAAGAAUGAAGCAUGCGUACAGUCACUUGUAGUGGGACAAUUUGGAAGCACAACAUGGCAUUUCCAGGAAAACACAGCUGCAUUGCCCCCUUCCUCCCCCCCUUUGCUCAGACUGGGGGUCUCCAUCCCUCUCACCUUUGUCCCCAAGGACAAACACAGACACACACAGAUGCCCCUGGCUGCCUGCAAUCGGGCUUCCUAUCUGCAAAGCUGUUCAGACAGCAUUUGCUAUGUGAAGUAUCAGCAAAGGCUGAAGUUUUUGAGCUGAUUUUAUCAGCGCUUGUCACCAUGUGUCACGUCAAAAAGUGUUUUUUGUUGGUCCCUCGCACCACAUUGAGGGAAGACAGCACCUAAUAUGCAGUUUAAAAAUAAAAUAAUAAUAAUAAAAAAAUUGGUAGUAGACUUAUGCAGUGUUAUUUAAGUGCUGCUUCCCCUGGAGUCUGUAUUUCUGAGGCUAUUGCAACAGGGAAAGAAUGAAGCAUGCACAUAAUUACUCGUAGCAGGAUAAUUUGGAAACACAACAUGGCACUUCCAGGAAAAAGAGGUUCAUCUCAACGUAGCACGGUGCUCUGCUGGCUGCCUGCCUGCAGCAGGUUGAUCUGAUUACAGCACAAACUCUUCUGUCCUCAUUUUAGGGCUGUGAGUAUCUCACACUUUUGCACUCACGCUUCAGUCUGAAACCUCUGCACUCAAGUGGAAAGUCCUACAGUUACAGGUACUUUUCUUUUUUUUUUUUUCCUGUUUUUCUUUUACAACAAAGAAAAUUGGAGCAGAUCUGGGCUGUUGAAUGGGCUGUGAAGAUUUCGGUUUGCGUUCUGCUCUCACUCCUACUCCCACAGCUGGCUUGGACAGCACAGCCCCACGCUGCAGUGCUAUUCCCAGUGCUGGAGGUGUGGGCACAUCAUUGGUCCCACUGCCCAGCCAGGGCUGAGCUGGGAGCUGGAACCCUGCCUGGAGCAGCUCUCUCCUUCUGCACCACCUGCUGCCCCGGUGCUGCUGUCCUCCCUGACACCGGUCUGCGAUCAUAAAGAGAAAGAGUAAAAGCAGCCUUACCUCGUCAGGCAGUGACCCAGCCGGCUCAGCGCUGCAGGCAGGAGGAAGUGCGCCGGCUGCAGCACCGCACCAGCCUUGUUUACACCAGCGUGGCAACCUGCGUGACAUCACAGCCUGCCCAAAGGUGGAACAUCUGCAUGAGCCUCCAUCUGCAGCCCUUUCAGCCUCACUCAGCUCAUAGGCCUGACCAAUUGGAGCCAAAUUGGGCAAAGGAGAGAUGGAGUUGACCAGAGCACACGUUGGUACAUGGAACACAUUGCCCACCUCGAAAAGAGCGCAAGCAGGAAGCGAAAAGCAGAUGUGGACGUUGAAGGACAUUAUUUAUUCUAAACUCCUUUUUAUCAGAUAACAGAAAGAGGAACGCUGACAAGCAUUUCAAAAUGCGCUGCUUCCAGCUCUCCCCUCUCCCAUGAUGGGAAUCAUUCCUGCCUUGGAGGAUUACAAUUAAAACAGCCAUAGGGGAAAGGUAACAAGUAGGUGUCCUGGGAGAAAUAAUUUUGGAGUACCUGGUGGUAUCUUUGUGUGUUGGAGCUGUGAACCCUUGGCAGCACACCCCAGGUUCUAUGCACCCCAGCUGAGUCCCUGGACCCCCCAAACUGGGUGGCACUGGGAUUUUCCCCCAAGAAAAUGCUGCUGCCAAUGCAGCCACAGGCAGUCAUUCAAUGGAGUGGUUGUUUUCUCGUUUUUGCUGUUUGCUUCUAAAGUUCUCUUCUUUCAGCAGAAACUAGGAAGGAGGGGACGUGUCUUGCACUGCAGCACUCCACAGCCUCUGAGGAGCAUUUUCCAUGCCACUAAAAAUAGCUUUAUCCAUUGCCUGGCCUGAAACAUCUUUGCUGUCCUUCCCAGUUCCAAAUCCCCCAACACGGUACCUCUGGCUUUUUGGAGUGAAUGAAAGAAAAGGAGGGAGGGACCAGGAGGGAAUGCUUGCUUAUUUGUCAUAGCAUGAUGGUUUUAAUUGCUUUGCUUGCUUUGUCCAAGAGGAUUGCAAAAGUUCUGCUUCUAAGGGUGUCUUACAGCUGUAAGUAACCCAUGCUCUAUAGCAGCUCCAGCACUCCUGCAUGUGUUUCCUUACCUGCCCACAUCCUGAAUGCAUCCCAGUGUGCCUUUGGGAGCACUGUCCUUGUUUCCAUUGCUCCCGGAGGGCCCAACUCAGUAAAUGUCACACGAACGAGAGGGUUUGCAGAGCUCUGUGUGAGGAUUCAGCUCUUCAUGCACUGUUGUAAGCAAUGGAGUCUCGGAAUCACAAGGUUGGAAAAGACCUACAAGGUCAUGCAGUCCAAGGAGAUUUUUCCCACCUCCCAGUACCAGAUCAUCGUAUCAAAGGAGCCAGGUCAGCCCUGCAGCAAUCACCUGCCAGCUAUGGCAACUCGUAGUGCUGGUGACUGACCACCUACUAUUGGCAAGACAAUUAGAAGAAGAGUGCUGAUGAAAGCCACAAUCCUGGCAUGUAGCAGUACGCCCUCAGGAUGUUGCCAUUGAGAACCUACAUGAAUACAGUAGCUGGCUUUCAGAAAAUGAGGCUUUCAACCUGUUCUGGAUCACUGGGGCAUCCCCCACAGCUCUGUUGCUGCUGCUCGAGGCAGCAGGUUUUGUAGCUUUGAAGAGCCUGGCUCUGCUGUGGAAAGUUCAUGAAACCAGUGUGGGAAGAUCCAUGGUUCUAAACUCAGCUAUUUGCAUCUUUGCAUUGCUUCCUCUCUGCAAAACAGGCCAGAAAAGUUCCCACCCGUUGUGUGAUGCUGCCUACAGGCGCUGGAGCCACAGCAUGCUUUUGGCAUGCACAGAAAGGCAGAGGAGUAGACACUGAGAAGGCUGGAAGGAAAACAACGAUGCUUCAGCAGCCACUGGUGUGCUGAUGUCCUGAAUGCUGUCUGUGAUGCUGCAGGCUGUGAAGUGAAAGGCAAGCAUUUUCAUGUGAACUGGAACACAAAAACAGUGCAUUAAUUCCACGGGGGGAUUCCCGAGGCUGGAAAAUACCCUCCCAGCAGCCAUGAGCCCCUCCACUCCUGUCCUUCACCGUGCUUCCCCUUUCACUUCAGCGAGGCAGGCAGCAGCAAAUGUUUUAGCAGAGGUCUUGAAUAAAUUGAAAAACAGGAAUCAGUUGACAAGACUGAGGUCAGGCUGCUAACGUCCACAAGUGAGGUUGGUAUGCAAAUCAAACCAGGGGACAGCAAAAGUCAGAGCAAGUCAGCUAAACUGACGUAUUGAAGUACUGGAAGAGGCACGACACUAAUGCUAAUCCCAUACAAGGUCCAUUCCUACAUCCUGCCCUAAACCAAAGCCACCUGCAGCUGAAAGAGAAUGAAAUUCUUUGUAACUUCACUGGUUGUCCUGCAGAGUCCUAUGUAGCAAGGGGCUGAAGCCUAAGGAGCCAUUGAUGCUGCUGUUGACCUACAGGGCCAAGAGGAAUCCAGGCUGGAAAGCACUACCUGAAGCCCAGACAGGAAAGGGUUGAUGGGGAUGCAGGUGGGGGUACAGCUACACGAAGAGGGAGCAGUAGGACUGCGAUGGAAACACUCUGUGGGACUGCAUUACAAUUGGGUUAUUUCCCAAGGGAGCUCUGCAUUGCAGCCAUUGUGCAGAGCUGCCACCAUUCCUUCAAGUCGUGCGGUUCAAGGCUGGUCGGGGGAUCUGUAAGACAAACAAAGUGCCUUAUGGACACAAACACCCAUCCCAGCACAUGCCUAGCUAUCAGGAUGUAAACCUCUUCAAGAAAAAAAAAAAAAGAAGUUUGAUGACAUCAGCAACUACCACAGAGCCAUCGAUAACGAAGUCAUGUUCCAGCUCUGCCUGGGGGAGCUGCUGGCUGGUAGAGGCUCCUAGCACUCCUCUUUUGCUUAUAAAGGACCUAGGUAAGCUGUCAUUCUUGCAGCGUGUAACAAGCUGCCAAACUGCUGAACUGCUUGGACUCCACCAAAGCUGAGCGCUGCUGGUUACUGGUGCCAAGGCUGCUCCUUCCUGUGGGCAUGGAGGGCUCCGUCUGAAGUCCUGCAGAACAGCAAGCUCCAGGCAAACAGGCAGAGGAGAUCUGGGAAGGGGAUUGGAAAGGAGCUGUGGUGUCCCACAAAGAGGUGGAUUUGGGCUUCUCGCAUCGAUGGGAGGGCAGGAGCCAAGGGAAUGCAUGUCAGUGCUGGGGCUGCUUCCCAGCCUGGCCAGUGCUGUCCUUUGCUCACAUCUCACGGGGGCUGUUAGCUCCAUCUGUGUGCUGGAAGCAGUGAGUAAGCCUGUACGGUUAUGGGCAGUUUCGUUUGGAUAGAGGAGUCAAGAUUUCCUUGGCAAUGGCAGUGCAUUGGCCCUGAUGAUUUGUUUCAGUCACAACUUCUCCUUUUGAUGGUUUCUCCAGUAUGUCUGUAUUUAGGUCGUCUCCUUCUCCCCACCCGCCCUAUUUUCUUGCUUAGUUUUGUCUUUCACUCACCAGAUACGGUUUUUCUGUGACAACUGAAAAGGAAAAACAACACAAUAUCUUAAUUAUAUCUACAGCUUUCUGCAGUUGUGCCAUGUUUAAAGCAAACAAAGAGCACCCUUCAAAUUCUGGGAUGACACGACUCAGCUACAUCUGUUUUUCUUUCUUUUUUAUCACUGUUUUCUACCUUUUAAGUUUCUCUCUCUCUCUUUUUUUUUUUUUUUUAAAUUUUCUACCCUUAAAAUGGAUUAUAUCAAACCACCAGUUCCCUAUACUGUACUGCUGAAGCUGGGUUAUUGGCUGCCCUAAAGGAUUGAAGUCCAAGUCUCUGCUUUUAUGCAUAAAUGAUUACAUCUAGGACUAAUGAGCAGGGAGAAGGAAACGUUUGCUUCCUUUGAGUCACUGUAAGUUUAUUUUCCCCUCUGCAUUACAGUGCCAUGUGCAGAGGGAAAGUGCACAGUGUCUGACCCACUGCCUCGAGUCCUGCCUGCUCACUGGGGCUGAGGGCAGAGCUCCAGCUGUCUGCACACAGUGCAAAUGCUGCACACAGUUCCUAGGGCUGGCAUGCUGCUUAAUUCUAGCACAGAAAUCAGCUCUGCUCGAGGUGCAUCUGAGCUGUGUGUGCAAACACUAAGGGCAUUAAUGACAAACACCUCUUGCAGAUGACUUCCCAUGCACACUGCAUGUUUAGCUAACACUAAGAAGCCAGAUCACACCAUUCUGCACCCCCUGAAGAACCAAGCAUCUCUCACGCUUCUGCCUGCCGUAUAAAAUUCAGGUUUUGUUGCUUUCAAAUGAAGACCUUUAAGAAUAUUUGGGAGAUUUGGCAGAAAACCUUUGAGAUUAUAGAAUCAUAGAAUCAUAGAAUGGCCUGGGUUGAAAAGGACCACAGCGAUCAUCUAGUUUCAACCUCCCUGCCACAGGCAGGGUCACCAACCAUCAGACCAGGCUCCCCAGAGCCACAUCCAGCCUGGAGAUUGGGAUAAUGCCUUGUCAUCCAAACCUCUUGGGUGGGCUCCAUGUAUAGGACAUCCCAAAGGUUAGUUAAAGAGAGAAAGCAUUCAGAAAGCCAGGCUGAGAAUAUGCUUUGUUCCUCCUCCACCCUGAACUCGGUGGGAGAUGCUUUUUGGUCACAGGGCAUGGCAUAGAGCCCCAUACUUCCAAGCAGCACAGCAGCCCUCCUGCCCCCUGGGCAGCAGUGCAGCGCAAACGGCAGCAUGCUGUGGGCUCUGGCUGUGAAACAGCAGAGUGCUUUGCAUGCAGCUGUUGCAAUUUCUCCUUUCAGGCCAGACGAUCAGGCUGUGUCUGGCUGUGGGUUUUGGUUUGCUUGUCUGCUUGCCUUGCUGAGCUGUAUUGAAGCCCUUUGGGGUGUGUUUUUCUGUUUGCAUUUUGUAAGCAAAAUGCAGACGUUUCCCAGACCUGCAGGCAGUUCUCAGGUUUCUCUUCCACACCGACGUCACCCCCAUCCCUACUUCUCAUCAUCUUUGCACAUAGAUAAAAACAAGUUUCGCCACUGUAGAUGAUAAAACUGAUUGCCUCGGGGAGCUGCCGCUCACGUACUCACAGAGCAGCCGUCCUUUUUUGAGAACGAUGAGGCAGUUCUUUGUUUUUAAAUAAAACAACCCUGGUUUGUGGUCAAGGCAUGCACGGUGAUGUGAGAACUUUGCUCAGCAGAACAAAGGUGUCGGGGUGCAAAGAUAUCAGAGGGAUUCGUGUUUCUCCCCUUCUGACUGGAAGGAGGACUAACAACUGGGAGAAGAGCCGUACAGCCUGUAUCAGGGAUUUCAAGUUAGCUCUAUUAGUGUGUAUUUAUUAGAUUGCCAUGGAGCAGAAGGCAUCGUGCUUCAUCAGAGCAGUGUCCUGCCUUCUGUCAGCAGCCUCAGCAGAUGCUUCAGAGGAAGGAAAGAGAUGCCCUCCCUGGAGCGCGUGGCUGUAAUGCAAUACGUGUCAGAGCAGCAGCCAAAUUCCAGAGAGAGAAUGAGAGGGGUAUGGCCAGGGCUGGGGAGGGCUUCACCACUCUGACAGCAGCUGUGGGUGACCUACCCGUGUUCAGACAGCUCUGGCAGGUAGGAAGUGCUGUGUGCUGAAAGGGAUGAGCAAAUCCUGAGCAGGGAACAGAGCAACUUGCAGGAGGAUGGAGGGAUGGUGAGUUUGAGUAGUCUGGCACUGAGAUGGGGUUGGGCACAGCCACCGGAUGAUGAAAUCUGCUUUGAGCUGCAGAGCAGGGAGAGAGAGUCGGGACUGACUUCACAGGCCAAACCUGCAAGCAGGAAAUGUUUGCUAUUUGCUGGCAAUGUGGUUUCUUGUUAAAACUGGCAAAAGUAAUUAAACUUAUUCUCCUGAGGAGUGAAUGGGUGAUGGCAGAAAAUAUAUUAUUUUUUCUUCCUGAAACAUAAAUUAAAGCCAGAGGAGCUCUGCAGCUGAGAGAAGUCAUUGUUUUUCUGUCCUCUAUGCCAAAA